rnacentral:other from 1 species
UGUCUCCUGGAGUGUUCGCCAGUCUAUUCAUGUCCCUGGCCGAUGCUUUUUACCUAGGAGGUUGACGUGUCACUAUUGUGCAAGCUCGGCAUGUAUCGAGAAGCCUACGGUGACAAAGAUACUUCCGCCCUGAACUUUUCGGUUCUAGGGCGAACAAUAGACAACGGCACUUCGGGAGGCGC